UAAAUACACCAUAGGAAUUGCAUGACGAACAGUUGAGUUUUAUCAUUGAAUACUGUGUUUUUAUUCAAUGGUUUUAUUUAAUCACAUUUCACAGAGGGGGAUACGUUUCAGUUUGUGAAAACGAAUAGCGACCGAUAUUUUUAUUGCAAAAAAUUAUUAUUAUCAGGUAUGCUUUAUCACAAUAAUAUAAAUAGUAAUUUCAGUAAAAAUACAAACUGCCUCUAAAAAUGAGCACUCAGAUUGUAAAUCAAACUAGAAAAAUAGCGGGAAUUUUGAUAACUAAAUCAGAAAUCAUAUUACAUUUUGGUAUUAUUCGAAAAAACAUCAAGUCAGUGUAAAAGGAAUCGUUUCUGGUUUCAUAAUGAAAAUCUAAGUAAGUUUGACAAUAAUUUGGCCAUUUUUAAAUGUUACCUAACAACGUUUAAAAGCAUCAAAAACAAUUACUCAAAAUGUUACAAAGCUUUACACUCCUGUGACCUUGUGCACAUAGCUUCCAUUACAACGACAGACGGGACACGCUUAUCUUAAACAACGGUAUUACAUACCUUCGUGUAAGGACGUAAGUAUGUAAAUUAGUUAGUUACAAACGUAAACAAAUGUAAAGCUAAUUCUUAUUGUUUUCUAGACGAUACUGUACGCCAUUUUCAAAUUGUUUUACACCAUAAAUAUUUUGUUACCUUUGUUAGACCUCCUGAAUAUUGAAUCCUGAAUAUCUUUACUACAACGAAUAGUACGGGAAAUCGAUGAUGAUAUGCUUGUGAUAUUGAAUGAUGAACAUACAAAAAUGGGUAUUCUUGUGUAUGGAUUAUAUAACGUUCUUCCAACAUACAACUAGUACCAGUCGACAUUGACUAGGAAGAUUAUUAAAAGAAGAAAAAGAAGAAGAGAUUUCCUUCGUAAUAUUCAGCAUGUGUCUAAUCGUGCACGGCUGGACCGCAAGGGAACAAGUUGAGAUGGAUCCAAAUGAUCCAGAUGUUUGCGUUCACGAGACAAUAGGAAGAUUUAGAGUUGGGGAAUCCAAAUCACUACAUCCCAAACAAUGUAUAAGGGCAACAUGUGAAAGGGGAAUGGUAUCGAAGGCUGGAUGCGGAACCGUUUUAACCAAGCCACCAUGUCAUGUUGGGUCUACAGAUUUGAGCAAACCAUACCCGGAUUGCUGUCCCAAAGUUAUUUGUCCAAAGAAUUGAUAUAUCAAUAGUCUUAGGGAGUGUAGUUUAGUUUCUUAGAUAUCUAUAUAGAUAUUAAAAAUGAAUUUGGUUUAUAACUUCUGCACUACACAUUUUGUACAAUGGUGCAGAUAAUAGUUUUACAAGUAAAGACACGUCCAAAAAUACAAUUUGUAACAGAUCUGGUUUGAAACC